rnacentral:rRNA from 1 species
CGGCCUAUCAGCUUGUUGGUGGGGUAAUGGCCUACCAAGGCGUCGACGGGUAGCCGGCCUGAGAGGGUGGACGGCCACAUUGGGACUGAGAUACGGCCCAGACUCCUACGGGAGGCAGCAGUGGGGAAUAUUGCACAAUGGGCGCAAGCCUGAUGCAGCGACGCCGCGUGGGGGAUGACGGCCUUCGGGUUGUAAACCUCUUUCGACAGGGACGAAGCUUUUGUGACGGUACCUGUAUAAGAAGCACCGGCUAACU